rnacentral:rRNA from 1 species
UGCCAGCCGCCGCGGUAAUACGGAGGGCGCAAGCGUUGUUCGGAAUCAUUGGGCGUAAAGCGCGUGUAGGCGGCUUGGCAAGUCGGAUGUGAAAGCCCGGGGCCCAACCCCGGAAAUGCAUUCGAAACUGCUUCGCUAGAGUCCCGGAGAGGAAGGCGGAAUUCCAGGUGUAGAGGUGAAAUUCGUAGAUAUCUGGAGGAACACCAGCGGCGAAGGCGGCCUUCUGGACGGUGACUGACGCUGAGACGCGAAAGCGUGGGGAGCAAACAGGAUUAGAUA